rnacentral:hammerhead_ribozyme from 1 species
AUCCAGCUGAUGAGUCCUAAAUAGGACGAAACGAGCUUCCUGUAU